GCGCAACUUUUGAGCAACUUUUAUGCUCUUUAGGGAAAGUACAUUUAUUAUGCCGAGGGCGAGGGAUGAACAUGCACAAACACCCAGCCUCCGCUUCUGAUUUCAAAAUUCUAUCAUCAGGCACUUCUGAGUGGGAACUUCUUAUCCGUGAAAGCCUAUUAAUUUUUCAACUUAACCCUGUCCUUAAUGCUAAUGUUAGAUCUACCCCUCUUGAGUUAUUUUGGUUAUGUAAUAUUAACCUUAACUAUACUAACCAUGCACUUAACAUUAAUCUUUACUUAUUAACUA